AUGGAGGCGGCUCUGGUGAGUGUGGCGACGGGUGCCUUGAAGCCCGUCCUUGGGAAGCUGGCCACCCUUUUGGGCGACGAGUACAAGCGUUUCAAGGGCGUGCGUGGCGAGAUCAAAUCGCUCAGCCGCGAACUCGCCGCCAUGGAGGCGUUUCUUCUGAAUAUGUCAGAGGAGGAGGAUCCUGAUGUGCAGGAUAAGGUGUGGAUGAAUGAGGUCCGGGAGCUCUCCUAUGACAUGGAGGACUCCAUCGAUGACUUCAUGCAGAGUGUCGGUAGUGAAGAUACAAAACCAGAUGGCUUCUUGGAGAAGAUGAAUAAUUCGUUGGGAAAGUUGGGGAAGAUGAAGGCUCGUCGCCGGAUCGGCAACGAGAUUGGAGAUCUGAAGAAGCAGGUCAUCGAGGUGGCCGAGAGGAAUGAAAGGUACAAGGCCCGUGAGGCCUUCUCCAAGGCCAAGAAUGCAACCGUUGAUCCUAGAGCUCUUGCUAUCUUUAAGCAUGCCUCUGAGCUUGUCGGAAUUGAUGAACCCAAGGCUGAGGUAAUUAAAUUGUUGACUAAAGGUGUGUCAACGCAAGAGCGAGUGAAGCUGGUCUCUAUCGUAGGAUCUGGUGGGAUGGGCAAGACAACUCUUGCAAAUCAAGUGUAUCAAGACCUAAAAGGAGAAUUUAAAUAUCGGGCCUUCUUAUCUAUCUCGAGAAAUCCAGACAUGAUGAAUAUCAUGAGACCUAUUUUUAGUGAAGUUAGUGGCCAACGGUACGCCGACACCGAAGCAGGGAGUAUACAACAGCUCAUCUCCAAGAUCAAAGAUUUCCUGGUAGAUAAAAGACUUGUGUUUCAUUAA
rnacentral:rRNA from 1 species